rnacentral:rRNA from 2 species
UUGACCUCAAAUCAGGUAGGACUACCCGCUGAACUUAAGCAUAUCAAUAAGCGGAGGAAAAGAAACUAACAAGGAUUCCCUUAGUAACUGCGAGUGAAGAGGGAAGAGCUCAAAUUUAAAAUCUGGCAGUGUUUGCUGUCCGAGU